CCUACGGGAGGCAGCAGUGGGGAAUAUUGCACAAUGGGGGAAACCCUGAUGCAGCGACGCCGCGUGAGUGAAGAAGUAUUUCGGUAUGUAAAGCUCUAUCAGCAGGGAAGAAAAUGACGGUACCUGAUUAAGAAGCCCCGGCUAACUACGUGCCAGCAGCCGCGGUAAUACGUAGGGGGCAAGCGUUAUCCGGAUUUACUGGGUGUAAAGGGAGCGUAGACGGCAGCACAAGUCUGGAGUGAAAUGCCGGGGCUUAACCCCGGAACUGCUUUGGAAACUGUGCAGCUUGAGUGCAGGGGAGGUAAGUGGAAUUCCUGGUGUAGCGGUGAAAUGCGUAGAUAUUAGGAGGAACACCAGUGGCGAAGGCGGCUUACGGGACUGUAACUGACGUUGAGGCUCGAAAGCGUGGGGAGCAAACAGGAUUAGAUACCCCUGUAGUC
rnacentral:rRNA from 1 species